rnacentral:tRNA from 1 species
GGGCUGGUAGCUCAGCUGGUAGAGCAACGCCCUUUUAAGGCGUGGGUCACAGGUUCGAAUCUUGUCCAGCUCA